rnacentral:rRNA from 1 species
UGGGGAAUAUUGGACAAUGGGCGCAAGCCUGAUCCAGCCAUGCCGCGUGAGUGAAGAAGGCCUUCGGGUUGUAAAGCUCUUUCGGCGGGGACGAAACGGUCCGGGCUAACACCACGGACUAAUGACGGUACUCGCAGAAGAAGCACCGGCUAACUACGUGCCAGCAGCCGCGGUAAUACGUAGGGUGCAGGCGUUAAUCGGAAUUACUGGGCGUAAAGCGUGCGCAGGCGGCUCCUUAAGUCAGAUGUGAAAGCCCCGGGCUUAACCUGGGAACUGCGUUUGAAACUGGGGAGCUAGAGUGUGGAAGAGGGGGGUGGAAUUCCAGGUGUAGCAGUGAAAUGCGUAGAGAUCUGGAGGAACACCGAUGGCGAAGGCAGCCACCUGGCAUAAUACUGACGCUGAGGCGCGAAAGCGUGGGGAGCAAACAGGAUUAGAUACCCUGGUAGUCCACGCCGUAAACGAUGAGAACUAGAUGUUGGGAGGGGAACCUUUCAGUAUCGAAGCUAACGCGAUAAGUUCUCCGCCUGGGAAGUACAGUCGCAAGGCUG